CAUUGCUUUACUUUUUAAAGUUUUUAUUUAUUUAUUUUGAGAGACAGGGGUGGGAGAGGCAGAGAGAGAGAGGAAGAGAGAGAAUCCCAAGCAGGCCUGGCACUUUCAGCACAGAGCCUGAUGUGGGGCUCGAACUCAUGAACCGCAAGAUCAUGACCUGAGCUGAAAACAAAGAGGUGGACACUCAACUGACUGAGCCACCCACACGCACUCCCUCUAUUACUUUUUAACUCAAAAGGUCUUCAUGCCACAGUGGACCCUCUUGGGGCAGCCUGCCGUUGGCCCUUAUAGGCUCUAGGGAAGAAUCCGCUCCUUGCGCUUUCCAGCCCCCAGAGUCGGUCUGCGUUCCGUGGCUCCUGGCCACAUUACUCUGACUUCUGCUUCUGUUCCCAUUUCCAGUCCUCUGACUCUAGUCUUCCUGCCUCCCUCCUAGAAGGACCCAGGUGACGGCCUUGGAUCCUUCCUGGUAACCCAGGUAACUUCCACAUCGCAAGGCACUCAAUGACACUGACAAUGUCUCUCUUGCCCUGUAAGGUACUGUAGUCACAGGUCUGGGGGGUGAGGGUGUAGAAAUCUCUGGAGGGACCAUCACUCUGCUCCCCACACUGAGAUACGGAGCUCGAGAGCUACAGAAAGACGGACGAGACCCUCCGGGCCACAGAUCUGGACCGGCACCAGCUGUGGCCGCUGUGAGUAGGUCACCAGGUUCUAGAAGAGAACGUAGAAGCCAGAAGAGGCUCUCUUCGUCUCCAGCUCAGUGAGGUUUCCAGUACCUGCCUGGUCCCCGAGGAAGUGAGAUGCCAUGUGUUCCCCCCACUCCGUCAGUUACUGACAUUUCAUCUCUUCGUGUUAACUCAGGAAAUGACAUUGACCUCUUCCGUGCCAGUGAUGUUCCGAUAGUUCCACGAGGGUGAACUCAUUUCCCGCCACCAAGAAGAGCAGCAGCAGCACCACCAACCGCGCCACAAGGAUGUGGAAGAACAUGGAAGACCGUCAAUUCUGGGACAGCACCAAAAAAGAUCGAGACAUUACGAAGUGUCCCACGUGUUCGUUGGAAGGUGAAGGAGAAAUGGAUGCCAGAAAGCCCUGCUGGUUCAUAGAAGGGAGCCCUUCACCAGGUGCAAUCACACCUCAGGGACAGGCGGCUCCGGACACUAAUCAGCAAAGCACUCUGAGGUUUGGUGCCUAAGCAGAAAUGAAAGUUUCAAGAGGGUAGAUUUUGGGAGCUGUCUGGGGGCAAGAGACCGGGCAAACUUGCCGUACCCUCAUCAGGAAUUUUCACUCUACUGGUGAGUUCAAAUAGCUCCCAACAUAGACCGUUGCCUCCUUCCCACCAGGCCUGUAGCCAAGCCCUGGGUGAGGAGAUUGGAAAGGGAGAAAAGCCCUGAAUUGACUGAACUGAAAUUGGAAGUGACUGGCAAAAACCCUGAGAUGCCUGAGUUUAUUCAAACUGGUUAAGUUUUGGGGCGCCUGGCUGGCUCAGUUGAACGUCUGACUUCGGCUCAGGUCAUGAUCUCAUGAUCUGUGGGUUUGAGCCCCAUGUUGGGCUCUGUGCUGAUAGCUCAGAGCCUGCUUCGGAUUCUUUGUCUCCCUGUGUCCCUGCCCCUCCCCCACUUGUGCUCUGUCUCUCCCUCUCAAAAUAAACAUA
ensembl:lncRNA